CCUCCUUUUCUUGGCGGGGGCCGGGCGUGCAGUCCUGGUCCCUGUUAGGUACGGAGGCAGAGAGAGUGGACUCCGUGUCAUGUCUUUGGUGCCAGCGGCUACCUGUUCGCUGGUUCUAUCCUCAAACACCGGGACAAAG
rnacentral:snoRNA from 1 species